UGGAGACGAUGAGCACCUCAGGUACAUUCGGGCAGCGUUCCGUUGCGGACAUGAACGAAACGGAAAUCGAACUCCUACUUACUCCUGUCGGGAAUAUGCAGGGAAGGAGGACAAUGAAAGCUGAUCCGGGUAAAAGCCCUGUGGAAAGUCCAACUUGCAGGAUUUUUUCCCAUCAUCGGUGCUGAGCAGCCAGAGUUGUGAAAUGAUUGCUAGCUCAAGAUUGGCGAUAAACGGUUGGAUGGGAGUUUCUUUCCCGGUCCAUAAUAAUCCUGCAGUCCUUCUGGAAGCGGCAUUGAUUCGGCGUUGCAACUCCUGCCAGGAAAAGGCAGCAAAAGUCUUCGGCAAAGCGAUAACAGCGUUGUUGUCCUUUAUGGUGGUGUGAUGCGGUCCUGUUUCUCUGAUAAGAGCGACUGGACCAUAGCCGAUUUAAUCGGUGGCGUUCAAGUUCCUCUCGGCGGCCAACAUCACACGACGCAAAAUUCCGGUGGUGCCUUCGGGUAUUGUUGUGCCGAGUAACCGAGGGGGCCCUUCAUUGGCCUAGCCAGUUAGGGCAUUGAACGCCGGCAGUCGAAGCAGGGCCGUCGGGUAAGAUAAUCAAUGUAUAAUCAAUUAUUUGCUUGUUUUUGUAGGUCUGAUGGAAGCGAUAGAGCGAGAGCGAGGGUGGUAUGACAUAUGGUCGAAAAAUCAGGUUGAUAUACCAUAAUACCAUAUGCCUUGCCAAUCCUUGAGGCCUAGAUGUCAAGACUUCCUUGUUCAGGUUGGAUGGAGUGAGAGCUCAACGGAAGAUAAAGAUGUUCAACCAAUCAAGAUCAACAGAAUGAGUUAUAUUUACAUAACGCAUCGUAAAGGGGUCUCCAGUAGCCUUGCGAGCAAAAGCGUAGGAUUGUCAAUCCGGAAAUGGCAGGUUAGAUUCUCGGUCCGGUCUAGGAUGAUUUCGGGUAGGAAAUUUUCUUGACACCCUGGGCAUAGUGUAUACAUUGUACAUAGAGGGCAUAAUUUUCUGGACAGGACAUGAACCGCUCGAUCGACGUCGUUCAGGAGAAGAAGUGGAUGAUCAUGGACAGCGAUGGAGAAGACUUUUCCAGAGAUGACUCAAUACCCAUCAUGGAGGCGUUCUAUUCAGGAAAGUUUUUCGCGCAUAUACAAUGAUUGAUUGGAAGUUGGACGGCAGUCUACGAUUGGACGAAGUAUCUCAUCUUCGAGGAACGCAUCUGUUGCGACCGAUCGCGUUCGGAGAUGUAAGCGUGGAGUUGCAUGGGGACUAUACGUUAGUGACACGAUGCAGAUCUAGAUCGACGGUUCGCUGAGAGGUUGGCAUGAGUGAUAAAGCACACUGUUUUCAACUUGAGUGUUUUGCAUCGGAUAUCGUUGGAGCGGUCGAGGGAAAUUCACGCAGUGUUGGACAGCUACAAAAGCACACGGAAUUGUUUGAAAUUUAAUUCGCAAUACAUCUUUCGAUCGCGGAAGAUCAGUACGUGGCAAUACCAGACAGGGUUUCUUUUCGGUUUACUAUGUACCAGUUUAAGAAUAAAUUAAAUAAAUAAAUAUUUGCU